AACGAACGCUGGCGGCAUGCCUAACACAUGCAAGUCGAACGAGACCUUCGGGUCUAGUGGCGCACGGGUGCGUAACGCGUGGGAACCUGCCUUUAGGUUCGGAAUAACUCAGAGAAAUUUGAGCUAAUACCGGAUGAUGUCUUCGGACCAAAGAUUUAUCGCCUUUAGAUGGGCCCGCGUAAGAUUAGCUAGUUGGUGGGUAAAGGCCUACCAAGGCGACGAUCUUUAGCUGGUCUGAGAGGAUGAUCAGCCACACUGGGACUGAGACACGGCCCAGACUCCUACGGGAGGCAGCAGUGGGGAAUAUUGGACAAUGGGCGAAAGCCUGAUCCAGCAAUGCCGCGUGAGUGAUGAAGGCCUUAGGGUUGUAAAGCUCUUUUACCCGAGAUGAUAAUGACAGUAUCGGGAGAAUAAGCUCCGGCUAACUCCGUGCCAGCAGCCGCGGU
rnacentral:rRNA from 1 species